rnacentral:rRNA from 1 species
AGUAACGGCGAGUGAAGCGGUAAUAGCUCAAAUUUGAAAUCUGGCUCUUUUAGAGUCCGAAUUGUAAUUUGUAGAAGAUGCUUCGGGGGGGGUUCCGGUCGAAGUGCCUUGGAACAGGACGUCAUAGAGGGUGAGAAUCCCGUAUGGGACUGGAUACCUAUGCUCAUGUGAAGCUCUUUCGACGAGUCGAGUUGUUUGGGA